AAUAAAGCAGGACAGAAUAAUGAAAGCGCUCUGAAGUCCUUGUACGAAACCACUACUAUAUAUAUGAAACUCAGAGCAUGACAUCAUUCUGUGUACCGAUAAGAAGCAGUUUGAGGCAGUUCAAACAGGCUUUGUUUUAGGAUCUUAGAUGAUGUUUAGACGAACCUUGAACAGAAGAACAUGUUUGUGUCUCUGUAAGCAGAUAAACAUUCUGAUCUCAGUGACAUCACAUGGCCUUCUGAGUCGUUAUCCUCACAUGAGAAUGAAACAGAACAAGAACAAAACUAUUUCAAAGUAAAAAUGAAUAAUUUCCCUCACAGUGUAAUGAACAGAAUCUGCUGUUUGUUAAUAACUGGAAUCUGUUCUGGGAGCGUUCUAGGUUGUUUCGUCCUGAUGGCCUGCACCCCAGCAGCCUCGGAGCGGAACUGCUGUCUGACAACAUCUCCAAGACGCUACACACCAAGUGACUGUCUACCUCAAUAGUGCAACAAGGUAUCUGGACUAGAUGACCUCUAUCUGGCCUUUGAUUAGGCCUACUGCGUCUUCUGAUGGAGAUGUAAAACGAAGUGCGUGAGUUUAAAAGACCCGUGUGUUCCUGUAGUUGUUAGCAGCUCAGCGGGCGAGACGUGCGGCUCUAAUCGCUUGGAUCAAUAGUCUAAGGCUGGAAGUUCAGUGCAUAGGCUGAGAAGGAGGACAGGGUAAAGGAAAUGCACCAUACCGUGGCGUAGGGCACGGCCAACAGGCUGCAGCUCCAGACCCGGCGGUGUUGAGAGCUCAGUGGAGGAUACGUUUGGCUCAGAUCAGGAGGAUCCUUAGGCUCUUGCCGGAGUUUCUGCACAUGUGGUAAGUGCAGGAGUCAACACCUGUUUCAGUGUUUAUUUACAGUCACAGCGUUUAACCUCACGCUUCCUACCUUGCCAGGCAGAUCAUG